rnacentral:rRNA from 1 species
CAGUAGCCGCGGUAAUACGAAGGGGGCUAGCGUUGCUCGGAAGGACUGGGCGUAAAGCGUGCGCAGGCGGUUAUAUAAGACAGAUGUGAAAUCCCCGGGCUCAACCUGGGACCUGCAUUUGUGACUGUAUAGCUAGAGUACGGUGGAGGGGGAUGGAAUUCCGCGUGUAGCAGUGAAAUGCGUAGAUAUGCGGAGGAACACCGAUGGCGAAGGUAAUCCCCUGGACCUGUACUGACGCUCAUGCACGAAAGCGUGGGGAGCAAACAGGAUUAGAUACCCCUGUAGUCCCUGUCUCUUAUAC